rnacentral:rRNA from 1 species
AGUGAACGCUGGCGGUAGGCCUAACACAUGCAAGUCGAACGGCAGCACAGUAAGAGCUUGCUCUUACGGGUGGCGAGUGGCGGACGGGUGAGGAAUACAUCGGAAUCUACUUUUUCGUGGGGGAUAACGUAGGGAAACUUACGCUAAUACCGCAUACGACCUACGGGUGAAAGCAGGGGAUCUUCGGACCUUGCGCGAUUGAAUGAGCCGAUGUCGGAUUAGCUAGUUGGCGGGGUAAGGGCCCACCAAGGCGACGAUCCGUAGCUGGUCUGAGAGGAUGAUCAGCCACACUGGAACUGAGACACGGUCCAGACUCCUACGGGAGGCAGCAGUGGGGAAUAUUGGACAAUGGGCGCAAGCCUGAUCCAGCCAUACCGCGUGGGUGAAGAAGGCCUUCGGGUUGUAAAGCCCUUUUGUUGGGAAAGAAAAGCAGCAGGUUAAUACCCCACUGUUCUGACGGUACCCAAAGAAUAAGCACCGGCUAACUUCGUG